GACGAACGCUGGCGGCGUGCCUAAUACAUGCAAGUAGAACGAGUUGCGAACGGGUGAGUAACGCGUGGUAACCUGCCUCAUAGCGGGGGAUAACUACUGGAAACGGUAGCUAAUACCGCACACCAUCAGAUGUGCCCAGAUGGGAUUGGCUGGUAGGUGGGGUAAUGGCUGACCUAGGCGACGAUCCGUAGCUGGUCUGAGAGGAUGACCAGCCACACUGGAACUGAGACACGGUCCAGAUUCCUACGGGAGGCAGCAGUGGGGAAUAUUGGACAAUGGGCGAAAGCCGGAUCCAGCCAUGCCGCGUGUGUGAAGAAGGCCUUCGGGUUGUAAAGCACUUUCAGCGGGGAGGCGUUACUCGCAGAAGAAGCACCGGCUAACUCCGUGCCAGCAGCCGCGGUAAUUC
rnacentral:rRNA from 1 species